rnacentral:misc_RNA from 1 species
GAUGAAGAACGCAGCGAAAUGCGAUACGUAGUGUGAAUUGCAGAAUUCAGUGAAUCAUCGAAUCUUUGAACGCACAUUGCGCCCAUUAGUAUUCUAGUGGGCAUGCCUGUUCGAGCGUCAUUUCAACCCUUAAGCCUCUGUUGCUUAGCGUUGGGAGCCUACCUACCCGGUAGAUCCUCAAAGUUAGCUGGCAGGGUCGAGGUUCGCCCUAAGCGUAGUAGUUCUUUCUCGCUUCUGCGGCUGCCUAGGCCAUCGCCACAAGCCUUUUAAACUUCAAUGGUUGACCUCGGAUCAGGUAGGAAUACCCGCUGAACUUAAGCAUAUCAAUAAGCGGAGGA